rnacentral:rRNA from 1 species
UUGACCUCAAAUCAGGUAGGGCUACCCGCUGAACUUAAGCAUAUCAAUAAGCGGAGGAAAGACCCGUCGCGCGUGCCNCGNCGCUCAUCGUGUGCUCCUUGACCCUGCUGUGUCGCGCUAGCNANNCUUCCAACGCGACCCCCAGGUCAGGCGGGACUACCCGCUGAAUUUAAGCAUAUCAAUNAAGCGGAG